AGUGAACGCUGGCGGUAGGCCUAACACAUGCAAGUCGAACGGCAGCACAGUAAGAGCUUGCUCUUACGGGUGGCGAGUGGCGGACGGGUGAGGAAUACAUCGUAAUCUACUUUUUCGUGGGGGAUAACGUAGGGAAACUUACGCUAAUACCGCAUACGACCUACGGUUGAAAGCAGGGGAUCUUCGGACCUUGCGCGAUUGAAUGAGCCGAUGUCGGAUUAGCUAGUUGGCGGGGUAAAGGCCCACCAAGGCGACGAUCCGUAGCUGGUCUGAGAGGAUGAUCAGCCACACUGGAACUGAGACACGGUCAAGACUCCUACGGGAGGCAGCAGUGGGGAAUAUUGGACAAUGGGCGCAAGCCUGAUCCAGCCAGACCGCGUGGGUGAAGAAGGCCUUCGGGUUGUAAAGCCCUUUUGUUGGGAAAGAAAAGCAGCAGGUUAAUACCCCGCUGUUCUGACGGUACCCAAAGAAUAAGCACCGGCUAACUUCGUG
rnacentral:rRNA from 1 species